UACGGAGGGGGCUAGCGUUGUUCGGAAUUACUGGGCGUAAAGCGCACGUAGGCGGCUUUGUAAGUUAGAGGUGAGAGCCCAGGGCUUAACCCUGGAAUUGCCUUUAAGACUGCAUCGCUAGAAUCGUGGAGAGGUGAGUGGAAUUCCGAGUGUAGAGGUGAAAUUCGUAGAUAUUCGGAAGAACACCAGUGGCGAAGGCGACUCACUGGACACGUAUUGACGCUGAGGUGCGAAAGCGUGGGGAGCAAACAGGGAU
rnacentral:rRNA from 1 species